UACGAAGGGCCCAAGCGUUAUCCGGAUUUAUUGGGUUUAAAGGGUGCGUAGGCGGUUUAUUAAGUCAGUGGUGAAAGCCUUCAGCUUAACUGAAGAAUUGCCAUUGAUACUGAUGAUCUUGAGUAUGAUUGAGGUGGGCGGAAUGUGUCAUGUAGCGGUGAAAUGCUUAGAUAUGACACAGAACACCGAUUGCGAAGGCAGCUCACUAAGUCAUAACUGACGCUGAUGCACGAAAGCGUGGGGAGCAAACAGG
rnacentral:rRNA from 1 species